GGUCUGGCCAGGAAACCUUCAAGCAGCAGCACUUUCCCUUUUAAGCAGGCCCCCGGACCCCAAAGUCCAAGGUGGUUCUCCUGCUAAUAACCAGGAAAAUGCCAGGGACACGCGAACAGGAGUCAUAGAAACCCCAGCUCUGUGUCCCUGAGCGGGCUGAGAUGAUGGCAGCGCUUGGAGCGGGGUGAUAACCCCCCCCCCAAAAAAAAUCCUGUCCCAGGGCAGUCCCUCCCUCAGGAAAGGUAACUUGGAUCACCAGUUGG